CCUACGGGAGGCAGCAGUGGGGAAUAUUGGGCAAUGGGCGCAAGCCUGACCCAGCAACGCCGCGUGAAGGAAGAAGGCUUUCGGGUUGUAAACUUCUUUUGUCAGGGACGAAGCAAGUGACGGUACCGGACGAAUAAGCCACGGCUAACUACGGGCCAGCAGCCGCGGUAAUACGUAGGUGGCAAGCGUUAUCCGGAUUGAUUGGGUUGAAAGGGCGUGUAGGUGGGAAUGCAAGUCAGAUGUGAAAACUAUGGGCUCAACCCAUAGACUGCAUUUGAAACUGUAUUUCUUGAGUGCAGGAGAGGCAAUCGGAAUUCCGUGUGUAGCGGUGAAAUGCGUAGAUAUAAGGAGGAACACCAGUGGCGAAGGCGGAUUGCUGGACAGUAACUGACGCUGAGGCGCGAAAGUGUGGGGAGCAAACAGGAUUAGAUACCCCGGUAGUC
rnacentral:rRNA from 1 species